UCCUGUAGGUGGCGCUGAUGCAAUUGAGCUUGUUUUCAAACAGCCAACAAAUCAAAAGAAGAAGAAUGGAACAGAACUUAUUUUGAGCGUGUUGUUUGUUUCACUGACGUGUGUAACGGAGCCGAUGCGUGUUUAACCCGGUUUAACCCGGUUUAACUCGCUUUAACUCGGGUUCCUCCGGGAUACUCAGCUUCUCAGUGAACAGUAAACAUAAUGGACAGUCUCCGCCUGGUGGGUGAGUUUCUGUCUCCGGAGUCGACGGUGACGUCCCUGAUGUCCAACACCGGUCGUCUGAGGAGCAGCCUCCUGCCUCCUGAACUCAGCAGCAGCAUCAGAUACAGAAACAAGGACUACGACUCGGCCUCAGCGGCGCUGGACGCCUACAUCGCAGACUUUGAGAGUAGUUGUCAGAACUGCAGGUUUCCAGCAGGAGGACUCGUCCUGCCUCGUAGUCUCCUGUCCGCGCCGAGCAGACCCAGAGUCAGCACACUCAGAAACAAAGAUGUUCUCAGGGAGAGUUUGACUGAGAGAGAGCUGGACUUCCUGAACCUGCCCGUCUCCUCCCUUCAUCACGGUGCUAACAGAGACCGACUCUCGAUGACGACAGACGAGCUGCUGUCAAUCCCUAACGAUGGAACGAUGCCUGUCACUCAUACUUCUGCCUUUAUCCAAGGCCUCGUGUCUCAGGCUGGAGCCUCACAGCUCCACUGCUCCUCCUCCAGUUCAGGACCUAGAAACUGUGCUGGGGUCAGUGACAGCUUCACCAACCCCCAGCUGAACCACCACCACCCUCAACUGACCAGGAACUCCAGGUGCAGAGGAGGAGGAGCAGCCAUGUUCAAAACACAUGACAACAAAUUCCCUUCCGCACACAGAGCCGCAGGGUCAGAGGUCACAGAGCCGUCCUCAGUUCCUCCUCACUGGUUCAGCAGCAGCAGGGCUGACUGGGAGCCCUCUGGAACCAGCAGCAUCCCCGACCUGAACCACCCAGCAGGGGUCCAGGGCUGCAGCGAGUCGCAGCCACAGCUGUGGGACGACUACAGUUUUCCUGCAGCUGUGAGAACCAGAGCUCCGUCCUGGGUAGCAGAGCUCGAGGAAGAUGAUCUCGACCAGACACGUUCACAGGUUGGAGAUCUGAGGCUUCAGUUAGCUGAUCAGAUUUCACUGCUCGCUACAGAGAGGAAAAGCUCCGACAUCAUGGACACUCACAAGAUGUUCAUAGACAACAGGAUCGAGUGUUUGAUCCAGAAGGCCGAUCAUGUGUUGAACUCUCUGUGUCAGAGCUGUGACGGAGCAGAUAAACCUGCAGUUAGUCCAGUGAACACUGAGGAGCUGCUCAGUUCAUCCUCACGCUGUCCUUCAUUAACUCUGGACCCAGCAGCAGGGGGCGGCACAGAGGCUCUGAGUGACAGAGGAGCUGAGGCUUCGAGCAGCGGUCUCCGUGGUACCUGGAAGCAGCCCGGUCCAGUGGAGGCUCUGAAACAGAUGCUGUUCAGACUGCAGGCGGUGGAGACCAAGCUUCAGCGACACGAAGAAGAAGCAUCAGAAGCUCAAACGCACCCUGACAGGCUGCAGGCUCCAGGGACGCAGGUGGAAACUCUCGUGUUUCAGAGCAAACAAACAAUAAAUAGGAUUCAUUUCAGUUCCUGAACGCACCUCAGGACUGUCAACAUCCAGCUGUGAGGAGACCACCUCCCUGCAGCUGCUCUCAGAUCUGCACUGAACCCUCCAGGAGCUUCUCUGGAGGAGACGACUGAAGUAGAGCUGGAGAGUUUUUCUGGUGGACCGUCACUACACAGGUAAAUGACCCUGAACACAUCACACAUUGAAUUAACACCAGAACGACUGCGGAGAUGAUCGAUACCAUUGACUGUGAAGAAAAGAUGGAAGUGCCGACUCUGCCUCUUCCAGACAUGAAGCUGAACUAAGAUAAGAUCAAACCUUUUGAUCCGGUGAAGUUCACUUGUUACAGCAGCAGGCAAGAGAAUAAAGAAAUAUAAAAAGGCAAUAGAUUAAAAAUAUAGCUCAGAUAUGAACGCUGCCAUCUUGUGGUGACGGCGUCGUGAUCGUAGCUAAUUAAAGUCAAACUAAUCACAAACAUGUGGUGGAUUCUGUCUCCGUCCUUAGAGCUCUGCAUCACCUGAGUCGUCUGAAGCUCCUGGUGGACGAACCCAGGGAGAUGAACAGAGAGGAGGAGAGAGAUGAAGAUGAAGGACGCUACUCUUCCUCAUCUGCUGACGGACUCAUCUGUACGCAGCUCAAACUCUCCUA